ACGCUCCUGAAACAGUGGGACCACUUGGUCAAGCAGGAGGGUGUGUUGUACCACCACACCUUUCGUUCGGAUGGGGGGAGGAGAAUCUCCAGCUCGUCCUGCCUGCCGUUCUUAAAGAAGAGACCAUGACCCAGUUGCACCAAGACCAUGGCCACCAGGGUGUCGAGCGCACCACUGAACUGGUGCAGCAGUGCUGUUACUGGCAGGGAAUGUCCGCCGACAUCAAGCAGUGGGUUCAGGCAUGCGAACGUUGCCAGGUUGCGAAGGAUUGACGACAGGAGCUUUUGCAAACAGUGCCAGACUUCCCCGGUGGUGGGGUCGGCCAGUCUGGUCCCGUUGGUCAGUGUUUACUUAUUCAAGUAACACUGGCGGUCCCGGAGAGUGAGUGACCUGACAUGCUCCUUCCUCCAGCUCCUCCUGGAGGACCCUGCAGCCUCAUGUCAGUGGGACGUGCCUGAAACACCUCCAGCAGGAGGUGCCAAGGAGGAUCCUGAUCAGAUGUUGAACCACCUCAACUGACCCCUUUUAACGCCAAGGAGCAGUGGUUCCACUCCGAGCUCCCUCCAGAUGUCACAGCUCCUCCCCCUAACUCUCCCCCAACCCAGAGCGGGCAAUCCACCGGUUUCUGGCAGAGAACCAUGGCCUUAGAUUUGGAGGUGCUGACUCUCAUCCCAACUCCUUCACACUCAGCUGCAAACCACCCCAGAUCAUGCUGGAGGUCAGGAUGUGAUGAAGCCAACAGAACCACAUCGUCUGUGAAAAGCAGAGAUGCAAUUCUGAGGUCCCCACACUCCGCCCCCCAGCUGCGCCUCAAGAUCCUGGUCAGCAAUCUUAAAAUCUGAAAGGACUAUAAAAAUAAAUCAGCUGAUGAGAC